GACGUAGGGCGCGAGCGUUGUCCGGAUUUAUUGGGCGUAAAGAGCUCGUAGGCGGCUUGUCGCGUCGACCGUGAAACCUCACAGCUCAACUGUGAGCCUGCGGUCGAUACGGGCAGGCUAGAGUUCGGUAGGGGAGACUGGAAUUCCUGGUGUAGCGGUGAAAUGCGUAGAUAUCAGGAGGAACACCUGUGGUGUAGACAGCUUACUGGACCAUCACUGACGCUGAGGCACGAAAGCGUGGGUAGCAAACAGG
rnacentral:rRNA from 1 species